rnacentral:misc_RNA from 1 species
AGGUGUGUGCUUGCUUUUGUAUUUCCUCUCUUUUUUGUUCUUUAGGUGUUAAGUUAAUCAAUGGUGGGUGGAUACUAACAAUCAGCUUCUGAUUAACAUGAAAAUCUAAGUAAUGGUGAUUUUCUAAGGGCAGUGCGGAUGAAAUAAAGAAAAUUAGGAGAAAGUGAUAGUAUGCUCUACUCUUGAUCUCAUUUUUAACUUUUGGGUGGUUCUUAUCUGCAAAAUAUAGGAUCCUGACCCUUUUUCAACAGGAAUUUUGGUUUGUUAAUCUAAGCUUUUUAUUAAAAGCGGGAAAAACACUUUAUUUAAUUUAUUCUAAGGGUGGUACAUUGUUGGGUCUAGCAAGAGAAAUUGAGUGAGAAUCUUGAGUAGGGAAAGCAAUGAUUCACAAACACAUACACAUACACAUACCCAUGUUUGAAUGUAUACUUUUAUAGCUUCCUACCUCUUUCAUAAAGUUAAAGUGCUAAUGAUAAUCCAUUUGGAUUUUUUCUUUUACUAGAUCUCCAUUGUCUAGGGAACAAAUGCUCUAAUCUCGAUUCUCAAAUUUUUAUUUCCAAUCCCAAAGCCAAACCAAAAUCUCACCUUUCUUUUUUUUUUUUAAAAAAAAUAGUUCCUAUUUUGUCUUUCAUGGGACUGAAUACUUUAUUUUCAAUUUAGCCCUUAAGUUUUAAAAUAAGAUCAAUGACAAAUGCUAAAUUUCCAUUAAUUUUAAAUCCAUUGCAUUUUUACUUAAUGGCUAGAACCUAAUCCGAAAACAUUGUAAAGCUAACUACAUAAUCCAUAGAAUUUGAAAAACCUUGGCUAAUGUGUGAUUUCAAGAUGAUGUUAAUGCAGUACAUUUAUCAGAAACAAGCCUCUCCAGUUUGAGAAAAGAAGGGAGAAGAGUACUAAACUAUAAAUUUGAACCAAUUCCACUCAUAACAACAACAACAAUAAGCCUUAAU